CAUCAUGUCUUGCUGCAGCUACUGGCAUAUCCUGUGCAACCCCAUCCCCCAAUAUGACUGCAUUACAAACAAGGCUAGAAAGGCAACAACAAAAUUUAAGGACCGCACUGAAGAUGAGCAGGGAAAAAAACACCCACCACCAAACAAACAAUGAAAGGACACACACUCGCAGGCUCUGGUCACUGUAACAUGGACUUCAACCCUCAGAAAAUACUGUUUUGUACUUUUUCAGGAAAGCAGAACUGCAGAGGAAAACAGCGCAGGGUGCCUAGACUUUCAAGACUGCCUGGAAAUGCGAAAGAGCAAGAAAGGAAAACAUGACAAAGGGCGGUAUUAUCAAAAUGGACAGAGAUGUGGUUAAAGCACUGGGGAAGACUGCAGUUAGCAAUCCAUGCUAAUAUGAGGAUGAUGCAGUACGUGAGCAAAUUUGAUGUAAGGGAAGUUUUAGAGUGAGGAUCAGCAAGGUGUCACAUUGUGCAGAGCAAGGAGGAUGCAGCAGAGCUGGACAUGCAUGAUUGGAAGUGAUGCAGAGAAAGAAAACAAAGCAGAAGAGCAAAGGUCAACCUAGAAAGUCAGCAAUAUGUAUUUUACAGAAAGAUAAGGGGGUAACUUUCUCAAGGCUGCUUAAAUCAGCAAUACAGGGCCACCAUCUGGACACAAUACUGGGUAAUGUUCUCAAGGGGACCCUGCCUGAGCUGGGAGGUUGGACUAGAUGAUCUCCCAAGAUCCCUUCCAACCUCAAUUAUUCUGUGACACUGUGAAAAAGGGUGUACAAAAAAAAACAGCCACUGUGUGCUUCCUUAGCUCCUGAAAGAAGCCAAAGAAAUUCUACAGCAAAUGCAUUUAUUUCCAUGAUUCAGGUUCAGGAAUGGGUAUGUGGCAUGGAUUAAAGUACAUAUUUCACUUUCUUCUGCAUGUCAGCUCUGGCACUGUUUGACCAUUGGAAAGGUGAUUCAGCAUGCACUGCCAGAAGAAACUAAACUUUUUUUUUUUUUUUUUUUUUUUUUUUUUUUUACUCCAUUUUUGCUGGCUUACACUUGCUAAGAAAACAGAUGAGCACAAGAUCUAGCAUGAGACAAUCCGCGGCAGCAUGCGGCUGGGACCAUCUCUUCUGGCAGAAGCAAGCUGUUAAAUGAGCUCAGUUGCCUCAUGACACCUCACUGUACACAAAACAGCGAGUGACAGGCUUUCCAAAAAGCUAUUUGUUUCACCAGGAAUUCAAAAACAAGCUCCUUCCAGCAGCUGUUGGGAAAGACCAGAUUUGCAUAGCAACCCGGGAACUACUUGUACAGGGUUUUUUUUGUGAAGAAUGAGAUUAUACACUUAGCUACAGAGGAGGGGUGAAAGCUUUCCCCUUCUAGAAGUAUCAGAGAAAAGACUGUUCAUGAAUCUUAAGAAGAUAUUUGCUUCUUAACAACUCCCUUGGAUUUCUUUCAUCAAGUAACAGGGAUUAGGGAGGUCUUGGAUUUUGUGUUUCUUUAAGCAAUUAUUUUGUAGGGUUCCCCUCCUCUUUUUUUCUUUCCCCAAGGAAGCACUUUUUAGGACUAAGUCAUUUGUCAAAACUCUUUUUUUUUUGGUAUUUAAAUGUAUGAACUGCAAAGUCAUAACAAUCAGUACUCUGCAGCCUGCCAAAGCCUAAGAGAUAGAGCUGCUCAAUAGAGAGCACUGUUUGCAUGGCCAGUUCCAGAGGAGGAUACGUUUCCAGACCCAUACAAGUGCCCUUUAUGUUAACAAGGCUGAGAAGACGUCUUGUCCGCUCUGGCUGAGUUCAGAUUUUAGAAAAUAUUUUCUUUUGCUGGAGGCAGAAGGCUGGGGUCCCACCGAGGAGCAGGGCCGCGAGGCCAUGGAGGCGGCACGCUGCAGCCCCACGAGUAGGCCUCGGCAGGAAAACGCGUGUCCCCUCAUCCUCCCUGCACACAACGAGGGUCCAGGGGCCUGCUUCUGUGCUGAUACAUCUGCCCACCUGCCUCAGGGAGGACGACCAGGGACAGAGGAGAACCAGGGACAGAGGAGAAAGGAAAGCCAGAGAGGAGAGUCACACACUGAAGACCAAAAGACGAGUACAGAGACGAUCUGGGAUUGCAAAUCUCCCAAAUAAGAACAGACCAAGGGCAGUGAAGGAGAAAAAAGAGGAAUUGUUUGCCAUGUGGUAGCUUUAUUAGCACAUACAUUUGAAUAUAGCAAUGAAACACUUCUUCUACACACAUUUAACCAGGUAUUUUUUUCUUCUCCUGUGAAAAUGACCGCUAGCUUAAACCUGGAAGGCAAAAAUCAGCACAGCAGCUUAUUAGCAGUCUGCUGUCUCCAGAGAGAGACCAAGGCAAACAGAAGUGUUUGCUACACCAUCCCCCAGUCAUUGUCCCUCUCUGUGAAGUGUCUUCUCCAGUACAAGUAUUUCACUACCCAAUUAAAAAAAUCAUACUCUCAACAGCAUCCAGCAGGGCUUCGGCAAUAUGGCUGUGUCUGAGAGAAAGGACAAACUGGGAGGCAGAACUAAUUAAGCCAUUCAGCAGCUUAUGUAUUAUGUUCUCAUUUUCUGAGGCCAGCCAAGGCACGAGUGAAACCUCUUUAGGUCAGAUAAAUGAAAGUUCAGCUUUACUGCCCACACUGACAAGCUGUUCUCCUGAUUAAGUUUACACACCAGUGCUGCUCCUGGGCCCUAUUGCUGUCACUUGUUUGUUUGAAAUCUUACAUACUUUGACCCAUGAAAACCAUGUCAUCUUUAUUUUAAAGGCAACUUUAGAAAGUAGGAGGUUGGUUUGGAUUUUCAGUGAUAUUUUUUUCCCUUCCCCAUCUAACACAGAGAAGGAAAGAAAGACUUUCAGGCAUAACUGCUUCUCCCGAAACAGUCUUCAUCCCCUGCAGAUACACCAUGACAUCUUCAACAUGGGUUAAAUCAAAGGAAACUAUGAUUUGGUGCAUAGGGACCUGGGUUUGUACUACUGUGACCUGAGCCAGCCCAGUUGUCAUCCAUCUCCAGUAAAUAAACAACUGAUACCUUGAAGAAAACAAGUAGAAGGGGCAGCACCAUUCUCAUGCAUCCAUUUUGGUCUGGCAUCUUCCAGGAGGAGGAGACUGCCUUUGCCUGUGAUAGCAAGAAACCAGCCCGGGUAGGCACAAUGCUGUGCAGCUGGGAACCUCAGUUUUGGGCAGGGGAAGAGGGGCCUCGAGGAGAGCACAUAUUCUCAUCCUGGGUGGGGAAAACACACAGCAGAAGCAGUACAGUUUGGCAGACCUUUAUCACAGCCAAAGGCUGUUUUAUCACAGACCCCUUUGUAGGGGGCUGCAAAUCCCAGGCUGGCCAAGUACAGGUCUAGCUGGCCAGGACACGGCGAGAAGGCUCUUCUAGGUCCCAUCCAGAUUUCAACUUCUGCAAAUCUGCUGAAAGGAGAGGGACCAAUCUGCCAUAAGGGAAGGGGCCCUUUCUGAGACUCUGCUUGAUAUUUAUCACAGACAUUAAUUCUGUGGGCAUAAUGGUAUAGAAGAAGCACCUUUACAACACGGUUUUGGGGUACAAUUCACAAAUGUUAGAUGUUAACCACUUAAAUAUUUGGAAACUCUCCCUUGAAGUCACACCCUUUUCACUGGCUGUUAGCCCCUACUGGUGGUUUCUGAUUAAUAAAGCUACAGAAGGAGAUUCAGAAACAAGGCAAGAAGCAACACAGGAAAAAUAUGGCAAAGUACACACUUAAGCCAAUAAAGCCGCCCUUUAUUUUAACUCUAAGUACCAAUGCAGCACGGAAUGCUCAUUACAUUUGAUAAUUGUUUUGGUUAGUAAUGACAAUAGAUUCACUUGGAUUUAUUAGACACAGCAUGCUUUAUUUAAUGCCAGUCUCUGGAAAUGUACUAAUGCCUGCUGACAGUGCUCUCAUAUUGUCUCUCCCCAAACAAGAAAUGAGGUCAUUGUGAUUCAUGUAAUAAUGUGAUAUACAUUUCUAUGGCAAUUUGUAAGUUUUUAAAAUUCCUAAACAAAAGCAUCUGUGUGGUUUUGUUUAUCCCCCUGCUCUGCAACUAGGAUUUCCCAAGUGGAAGACCUAACUUUAGAAAAUCCAGGAGAAGCUGUUACUCACUUUCCAGAGCUCACUUCUGCUUUUUCUUUUUUUCUUUAUUUUUUUUUUCUCUUGACUGAAGUGGAAGACCAUACACAGCUUGUUCCUGUACAAAGUGCUGCCCUUCUCUGGCAGGAAGGGAAUCUUCUUUAAUUAAAAGUGACAUUCCAGAAAGUUUGCAAUUUAGAAAGGAUCAAGGUGCAAAGAGAACAGCCUGAGGAAAUGCUUUUGCAAAGAGGGCAGGGAUUGGUGGUAAUUAAAAUGAAGCAAAAGAAAUAGGUAUAGUAACUACUAGUAACUACUUUUUUUUUUUCUUUCUUUCUUUGUCUUCUAAGCUUGGACUGGGAAAAGGUAGAAAACGCCCUCCAUUUACAAGAAAAACAUAGAAACAAGACUGAUCCUUAGGCAUAAAAUUAGAUACUACAUCUGGA